AUGCAACUACAUGUAUCAGGCAUCCAGAAUUUGACUCAAGCACAGACUGAUUGGAGAAGUACAGGCUUAAGUUUGAAAUUUCAGAAAGAGAUCAUUUGAGUUAUUAUGAAUAUCACAAAGAUUGCAUGUCUUCAGAUUAAUUUCCAGGUACAUUUCACUGUAUCUUUGCC
rnacentral:lncRNA from 1 species